AGUGAACGCUGGCGGUAGGCCUAACACAUGCAAGUCGAACGGCAGCACAGUAAGAGCUUGCUCUUACUGGUGGCGAGUGGCGGACGGGUGAGGAAUACAUCGGAAUCUACUUUUUCGUGGGGGAUAACGUAGGGAAACUUACGCUAAUACCGCAUACGACCUACGGGUGAAAGCAGGGGAUCUUCGGACCUUGCGCGAUUGAAUGAGCCGAUGUCGUAUUAGCUAGUUGGCGGGGUAAAGGCCCACCAAGGCGACGAUCCGUAGCUGGUCUGAGAGGAUGAUCAGCCACACUGGAACUGAGACACGGUCCAGACUCCUACGGGAGGCAGCAGUGGGGAAUAUUGGACAAUGGGCGCAAGCCUGAUCCAGCCAUACCGCGUGGGUGAAGAAGGCCUUCGGGUUGUAAAGCCCUUUUGUUGGGAAAGAAAAGCAGCAGGUUAAUACCCCGCUGUUCUGACGGUACCCAAAGAAUAAGCACCGGCUAACUUCGUG
rnacentral:rRNA from 1 species